rnacentral:rRNA from 1 species
GCGAGUGGCGAACGGGUGAGUAAUGCAUCGGAACGUGCCCAAUCGUGGGGGAUAACGUGUGGAAACGCACGCUAAUACCGCAUACGUCCUACGGGAGAAAGCAGGGGACCUUCGGGCCUCGCGCGAUUGGAGCGGCCGAUGUUAGAUUAGGUAGUUGGUGGGGUAAAGGCUCACCAAGCCGACGAUCUAUAGCUGGUCUGAGAGGACGACCAGCCACACUGGAACUGAGACACGGUCCAGACUCC